AGGUGUGGAGGAAUGUGACAAGCAGCUUGGUCGUGUCUCUGGCAAGCACAGUGAGGUGCUGCUGUGGCAGCUUCCCCGUGGUGACAGAGCC